rnacentral:misc_RNA from 1 species
GUAGGUGGUAAGUGACAUGAUCCCCCGGCCUAUUUUUUUUUUCGAAUCAUUCUUACUAACUUUCGUUCCAGAACCUGCGGAAGGAUCAUUAAAGAGAGCUUGGGGUGCCCUUGGGCCCCUGAACCUCCCAACCCUAUGUGAACGUACCUUUUAGUUGCUUUGGCGGGGCGCGGCCAGUAAUAGCCCCGCUGGUCCCUACCCUGGGGCUGGUGAGCCCCCGCCAGAGGACCACAAAACUCUUGCAUUUAUAACGGUGAAGUCUGAACUUUUACUAUUUGAAAUAGCGAAAAAACUUUCAACAACGGAUCUCUUGGUUCUG